rnacentral:tRNA from 1 species
GCCUAGCUGGCUCAGCCUGUGGAGCGUGUGACUCUUAAUCUUGGGGUUGUGAGUUCGAGCCCCACAUUGGGUA